UACGUAGGGGGCAAGCGUUGUCUGGAUUUAUUGGGCGUAAAGAGCGUGUAGGCGGCCAGGUAGGUCCGUUGUGAAAACUAGAGGCUCAACCUCUAGACGUCGAUGGAAACCAUCUGGCUAGAGUCCGGAAGAGGAAAGUGGAAUUCACGGUGUAGCAGUGAAAUGCGUAGAGCUCGUGAGGAAGACCGGUGGCGAAGGCGGAUCUCUGGACGGCCCCUGACGCUGAGGCGCGAAGGCUAGGGGAGCAAACGGG
rnacentral:rRNA from 1 species